rnacentral:rRNA from 1 species
CAAAAACAUCGCCUCCCGCAAAAAUCAAAAUAUAGGAGGUCUUACCUGCCCAGUGACAACAUGUUUAACGGCCGCGGUAUACUGACCGUGCUAAGGUAGCGCAAUCACUUGUCUUUUAAAUGAGGACCUGUAUGAAUGGUGAAACGAGGGCUUAACUGUCUCCCUUUUCAGGUCAAUGAAAUUGAUCUGUCCGUGCAGAAGCGGACAUUAUACUACAAGACGAGAAGACCCUUUGGAGCUUUAGGUAUAAAGUUACUUGCAUUCUUAAACUCAAACAAAAGAACUCAAAUAAAGCAAUAUUAACUUCCAAGCCUUCGGUUGGGGCGACCGUGGGAGAUAAUAGAGCUCCCAUGAGGACCAGGAUAUUUCCCAGAACUAAGAGGGACACCUCUAAGUCACAGAACAUCUGACCUAACAGAUCCGGCAAACAAGCCGAUUAACGGACCAAGUUACCCUAGGGAUAACAGCGCAAUCCUCUUUGAGAGUUCUUAUCGACAAGGGGGUUUACGACCUCGAUGUUGGAUCAGGACAUCCUAAUGGUGCAGCCGCUAUUAAGGGUUCGUUUGUUCAACGAUUAAAGUCCUACGUGAUCUGAG